rnacentral:rRNA from 1 species
UACGGAGGGUGCAAGCGUUGUUCGGAAUCACUGGGCGUAAAGCGCGUGUAGGCGGCCGACUAAGUCCGGUGUGAAAGCCCGGGGCUUACCCCCGGAAGUGCGCUGGAAACUAGUCGACUAGAGUAUGGGAGAGGGAAGUGGAAUUCCUGGUGUAGCGGUGAAAUGCGUAGAUAUCAGGAGGAACACCGGCGGCGAAGGCGGCUUCCUGGACCAAUACUGACGCUAAGACGCGAAAGCGUGGGGAGCAAACAGG